rnacentral:rRNA from 1 species
CACACAGUAAACGAUGAAUACUCGCUGUUUGCGAUAUACAGUAAGCGGCCAAGCGAAAGCAUUAAGUAUUCCACCUGGGGAGUACGCCGGCAACGGUGAAACUCAAAGGAAUUGACGGGGGCCCGCACAAGCGGAGGAACAUGUGGUUUAAUUCGAUGAUACGCGAGGAACCUUACCCGGGCUUGAACUGCCAGUGAACGAUUCAGAGAUGAUGAGGCCCUUCGGGGCGCUGGUGGAGGUGC